rnacentral:rRNA from 1 species
GACGAACGCUGGCGGCAGGCCUAACACAUGCAAGUCGAGCGGAGUGGCGGACGGGCGAGUAAUGCCUAGGAAUCUGCCUGGCCGUCGGUGUUAACGUCAGGAAACGGGCGCUAAUACCGCAUACUUUAAGAUGAGGCUAGGGCGGAUUCGCUCGUUGGUGGGGUAGAGGCCUACCAAGGCGACGAUCCGUAACUGGUCUGGGAGGAUGAUCAGGAACACUGGAACUUAGACACGGUCCAGACUCCUACGGUAGGCAGCAGUGGGGAAUAUUGGACAAUGGGCGAAAGCCUGAUCCAGCCAUGCCGCGUGUGUGAAGAAGGUCUUCGGAUUGUAAAGCUCUUUAAGUUGGGAGGCGUUACCAACAGAAUAAGCACCGGCUAACUCCGUGCCAGCAGCCGCGGUAAUAC